UCAACCAGAUUUAAGAGUUCUCUGGAU
rnacentral:piRNA from 1 species